rnacentral:pre_miRNA from 1 species
UCUUAUGGAUGAAAAAAGAAAGUGGUUUCUUGAAAUGGAAUUUAUUCCUGGUGAAGAUGCUAAGAA